rnacentral:lncRNA from 1 species
AAAAAAUCAUUGAUAUCUCUGAAACGCAUCUGAAAAUACGCUCAGUUCCUGCCCUGGCAAGGCCUACAUUAAUCCGGUUAUUGCUGUACAAAUUGGGAGAAGUAAACCCUCACAAUGCUGAGCACAGUUAGCCGGCAGCUUAAAAGCCACCCAGCACUGGUCCCCCUCUUCAUCUUCAUCGGUGGUGGGACGGUUAUGUCUGGGGCGUAUCUCUUGCGCCUGGCAAUGGGACCCCAUGUCAGUUUUACUCGGUGAACAUGGACUACAGCAAGCUGAAGAAAGAGGGUCCUGACUUCUAAACUCUUCUGCUGGACCAAAGGCUUGAGGAAAGAAAUGACUUAUUCUAACACUGACGUCCCUUACACCUGUAACUUGAAACCAGUGGAUGCAAAGAGGCUAAACCGCACAAGUUCCGUCCCCUUUGACCUUUUAACCAUCUCUUUUUUUCCCUCAUACCUCAUGGUUGUGCCGCAAUAAAGUUAAGGAGUCUUUUCUCCUGUGUACAGAGAAAA